UAUUCCCAAUAGCGAGGCUCUUCUUUCUAAGUUGGAUGGCGUUAAAUCUCUGUGUAUCAUCAACGUGAAAACAAGCGCAGUAUUUAAGGUUGGUAUACUACAAUGCAUUACAGUUAUCGUGUUAUUUUAUAGUCAAAUUUCCGCUUUGUUGUUUUUAUUCUUGUACUUUUAAUAUAAAUACACUGUACAAAAUUAUGGCGUCUACUUGUGUUUACAAUGCCUCUAGUUUGACCCUAUAGUGUGUGUAUAUGUACUGUGUCACUGUGAUACAUAUGUACAUGUUUUGAGUUAAACGAAUUGUUUAAUACAUUUUUGCUGAAGUAUGAUGCCUGUUUGUAUGGAUAGAUUUUUACAUAUAUGUGCAUACAGUAUAGUAUAUUUUUCAAUUUUCAUCUGUAAAAUAAUAUUUGUGUGUUGUUCUAAUAUUACUGUAAAUAGUGACACACUUUUGCAUUAGAUUGCUAAUUUUAGAGAUUACAGUGUAUGUAUAAAAUAAUAAAAUAAAAAUUUUCUUGUUAUGAUUUUGUAGAAAGAGAUCUACUUGAGUGGUUCAGUGGUUGGCUGGUCUUGAACCUGGUCAGCAUGGAUAUGGUAAUGAAGGUGAUAGGGCAGAAAGUGGUGACCAGUUAAGUGAUCAGGAUGAAAGUGACGAGGACGAAAUCACCCAUGCUGUGCCAUUCAAGUGCAUUGGUGCUGUUCAUGAGAAACAUUACCAAGAUCAUUUGUAACAGGCAUGCCUUGCAAUUCAUGGACAAGAUAAACCAGUGAAUGUAAGAAUACGUCCAAAACCAUUGAAUCCAAUGGACCCAAGUGCAAUAGCAAUUGAUGUAGACUAUGGAACUGGAUGGACACAUGUGAUGUUGGCUAUAUUAUUUGCACCCACUAAUUGCUGCAUGAGAUAUCUUAGAGGUCUAUGUUCAGCAUAUAAAGUAUAGGGUUGACUUUUUUAAAAUAGGAUUUUAUCCAAAAUUUUUCAUAAAGGGAUGUGGUGAGUGGGAACUCAAGUGGUAAGGAGGGGCAUGAGUGUAUGUCCACAGAUGUUUGUGAUAUAAUAGUAACUGACUAGGUUUAGCAAGUUAUAGAAAUGAUGUUAUUUAAAUUGGCUAACUUUUUAGAUUUUUUCAGCAUUUUUACCUUUCACUUUAUUGCCAAACAAAAAUGAAAAAUCAUUUAAUUUAAGUAGGUGUGUAUCUAUAAGAAAACAAUAUCUGUCAUGUGCACUUGUGCAACUCCCUCAAAAUAGCAAUAUUGCUUUUUUAUUGUGUAGGACACCAAUAUGGUUCUCAUUACCUAUAUCUAAACUUAAAAAAACAUGUGCUAUAAAUAAAUGCAUCUACCUAUUUCGUGACUGAAUAGAAUUUAUUUUGUCAAGCCAUGUAAUUAAUUUUCAAAUUGCUGUGACUUUAUGUAACCCUUCUGCAGGAAUUGAGCCUAAACCCUAAAGCACCAACCCCUAAAGCACCAACCCAUCCCCAACAAUAAAAUUACAUCUUACUGUCA